GCUCUUUCUCCUGGGAUGAUAAUGACAGUAGCAGGUAAAGAAACCCCGGCUAACUCCGUGCCAGCAGCCGCGGUAAUACGGAGGGGGUUAGCGUUGUUCGGAAUUACUGGGCGUAAAGCGCGCGUAGGCGGAUUAGAAAGUUGGGGGUGAAAUCCCGGGGCUCAACCUCGGAACUGCCUCCAAAACUGCUAGUCUAGAGUUCGAGAGAGGUGAGUGGAAUUCCGAGUGUAGAGGUGAAAUUCGUAGAUAUUCGGAGGAACACCAGUGGCGAAGGCGGCUCACUGGCUCGAUACUGACGCUGAGGUGCGAAAGUGUGGGGAGCAAACAGGAUUAGAUACCCUGGUAGUCCACACCGUAAACGAUGAAUGCCAGUCGUCGGGUAGUAUACUAUUCGGUGACACACCUAACGGAUUAAGCAUUCCGCCUGGGGAGUA
rnacentral:rRNA from 1 species